AAGGGCGAAGCGCAUAAAAUUCAGUUCGAAGUGUUUGUUUAUCUGCUUCGGGUUUAUGUGUUUAAUACCAAAAAAUGGUAAACGCGGAAUAUGCAAAUCCGUAGAAUCGUUGAAGACCACGCUCCCAUCUGGUGUUUCGAACGCGUCUUGGCUUUUAACUUCCAUCGACAAAAUUAGCGGAAUGCACACCAAAGAGCAUAAAAUGUACGUAAAGCAGAUGCGACGUAUCGCCAUACGGCGAGAAUAGUCGCGAGGGAACAAGAAAUGAAGUGGAAAGCGUUAGUGAAUACGGAGUGGAAUAUAAUGAACGACGCGAAUUCGUGGCUAAAGUAAAUGGAACUUUUAUCUUGGAGGGCAUCGCAUAGGUUUCGUAGUGAGGACGAAGAUGUUCAAGAUGUUGAGGAUCGAACCGAGGGAGCAAACGGUCAAACUUAGGUAUACGUGAUAACUUCGGAAAAUUAGGCUGAAUUGUUUCAGGUUGCAGUAUGA